UGGGCAACAUAGCAAGACCCCAUCUCUAAAAUUUAAGUAAGUAAAAGUAGAUAAAUAAAAAGAAAAAAAAACUGUUUAUGUGCUCAUCAUAAAGUAGAAGAGUGGUUUGCUUUUUUUUUUUUUUUUGGAUUAAUGAGGAAAUCAUUCUGUGGCUCUAGUCAUAAUUUAUGCUUAAUAACAUUGAUAGUAGCCCUUUGCGCUAUAACUCUACCUAAAGACUCACAUCAUUUGGCAGAGAGAGAGUCGUUGAAGUCCCAGGAAUUCAGGACUGGGCAGGUUAAGACCUCAGACAAGGUAGUAGAGGUAGACUUGUGGACAAGGCUCGGGUCCCAGCCCACCGCACCCCAACUUUAAUCAGAGUGGUUCACUAUUGAUCUAUUUUUGUGUGAUAGCUGUGUGGCGUGGGCCACAACAUUUAAUGAGAAGUUACUGUGCACCAAACUGCCGAACACCAUUCUAAACUAUUCAUAUAUAUUAGUCAUUUAAUUCUUACAUAACUUGAGAGGUAGACAGAUAUCCUUAUUUUAGAGAUGAGGAAACCAAGAGAACUUAGGUCAUUAGCGCAAGGUUGUAGAGUAAGCGGCAAAGCCAAGACACAAAGCUGGGUGGUUUGGUUUCAGAGCCAGUGCUUUUCCCCUCUACUGUACUGCCUCUCAACCAACACAGGGUUGCACAGGCCCAUUCUCUGAUUUUUUUCCUCUUGUCCUCUGCCUCUCCCUCUAGCUCCCACUUCCUCUCUGCUCUAGUUCAUUUUCUUUAGAGCAGCCCGAGUGAUCAUGAAGUGCAAAUCUUGCCAUGUCAGUCCCCUGCUUAGAACCCUCCAAUGGCUCACUUUCUCUUUAGGCAAAAGUCUUUACCCCAUGCCUUCUCCCAUCUCAUCUCAACCCCCUCAUUUGUUGGCUGUCUGCUGUCAGCCACUCUUCUUUCAGGUCCUCAGAUGCACUGCACCCUCUCCUGCCUGGGGGUCUUUGCUCCUGCUACUACCUCUGCUUGAACAGCUCCUCACCUUCCUUCCUCCAACCCUACCCUUGUAUAGGUGACUUUUGUUCAUCCUUCAGAAUUCAACUCACAUGUCUCUUGCAUGGAGAACCCUCACCUACUGUGUUGAGACCCUGUCCAGCCCCCAGGUGGGAUCCUCUCUCGACUUCCCAUACAUUUCUUUCACAGCAUUUACAUAGUCCAUGAUAGUUUACUUGUGGGAUUAUUUGGUUAAUCUUUGCCUUUAACACCAGGGUUCCUUGGGUGAAGGAGCUUCUUUAUCUUGGUAACAGCAUUAUUUCAAGCAUAACUUGUAAUAUAGUUAUAUUACAUAUAUAACAUAUAUAUAUAUAACAUAACAUAUAUAACAUAUAUAACAAGCAUAACUUGUUAUAUAGUCUUGUAUAUAGUAAGACCUCAAUAAAUAUUUGGAGAACAAA
rnacentral:lncRNA from 1 species